rnacentral:rRNA from 1 species
UACGUAGGGGGCAAGCGUUGUCCGGAAUUACUGGGCGUAAAGGGCGCGUAGGCGGCCUUCUAAGUCGAACGUGAAAUCCCUGGGCUCAACCCAGGAACUGCGUCCGAUACUGGAAGGCUUGAAUCCGGGAGAGGGAUGCGGAAUUCCAGGUGUAGCGGUGAAAUGCGCAGAUAUCAGGAGGAACACCGGUGGCGAAGGCGGUUCUCUGGGCCUGUACUGACGCUGAGGAACGAAAGCGUGGGGAGCGAACAGG